CAGCCUCCUUAUAGCUGGGACUACAGGUGCACACCACCAUGCCUGGCUAACUUUUGUAUUUUUUGUAGGGAUGGAGUUUUGCCAUGUUGCCCAGGCUGAUCUUGAACUCCUUGGCUCAAGCAAUUCUCUUGCCUCAGCCUCCCAAAGUGUUGGUAUUACAGGUUGUUAUAGACCUGUUUUUAAAUUAACACUCCUAUUUGUUCUUAAAGAUGCUCCUUAAAAAGCAGGGCUUUUUUUUUUUCUAGGUGAAAGGUGGAGAGAACAUUCUAGGCAUUACUUGAAGGCUUGAUAGAGCAUGCACGAUUUGUGCAAGAAAUUGAGAGCUGUUCCAUGUUCCACAAGGUCAAGUGAAGGCAAAGAGCAGACAUUGGAGGUAAAGCUGAAAAGCAGAGCCUCGUCUGCAAUGAUAAGACACUUGGACUUUAUCUUGGAGAUGACAAGGAGCUUCUGGUGGGAGUUCGCAAGGGUGGUCAUGAGGAAAAGCAGCAUUCUCCCUCCCAAACACCUGGGAUGCUCCCUUUCUCAAGCACUUCCACUGUCUGGGCUCAGGACCCUGUCUCAUCAGCUCGCUCCACAGUCAAAUGCCUUGUGAAUUUUCUUUGCCAAAUGAAUGUGCACAGAAGCCAAGGCAGCGUGGUUUACUCUAAAAAGAAUCCAUUUGGGGGCAGCCAUGUCCCUGCGGGGUCCCUGGCACCUGAAUAUAAACCUCUUUCUCUUUUGAAAAUAUUACUAAAUAUGUUAAUUUGGGAACAAAAUGCAGUCACCAUGUCCACCCACAAUGGGCAGUUAUGCAGAAGAUAGGAGGGUGGCAGAGAGGGGACUGCAAAGUGUGGGUGAAGAAACAUAAGAGAAGAGGAAGAGGGUAAUAAAAAGAGGAACAGAAGCUCAUUCUCCCUGGAGAGCAUCAGGGCAGGAUGCUGUGAUUAUUCUUAUUGCAAGGAAAUAUGAGCAGCUUGUCUUGAUUCGGCAAUCUCAGAAUGUCAACAUUUAUCCCCAAAUAGCCAAGUUUUCUGUCACCAACUCGGGAGGGGUAGCAGCCUUGAGUGCUUCUCCAUGGAUUCUUCAGCAACUGGCCAGCAAGAUUUAAAUGAAAUCUCAUGUGUUACAUUUACACCUACUCCCCCUUUUAAGUUGGAUUCUUUAUUACCACUGGUAUUUGGGGUGGCAUUUUAAUACCCAUGUCAAAAAGUUGAAAGCAAUUUGCACGGAGUUUGUUCUCCAAGGAUUCUCCCCUGUUCUUACCAGCCUGAGAAGAAGAAAAGUGCAACAUUACUUCUUCAUUUUUC
rnacentral:lncRNA from 10 species